CCAGACUCCUACGGGAGGCAGCAGUGGGGGAUAUUGCACAAUGGGGGGAACCCUGAUGCAGCGACGCCGCGUGGGUGAAGGAGUGCUUCGGCAUGUAAAGCCCUAUCGGCAGGGAAGAAGCAAGACGGUACCUGACUAAGAAGCCCCGGCUAACUACGUGCCAGCAGCCGCGGUAAUACGUAGGGGGCGAGCGUUAUCCGGAUUCACUGGGUGUAAAGGGAGCGUAGACGGCUGUGCAAGCCAGAUGUGAAAGCCCGGGGCUCAACCCCGGGACUGCAUUUGGAACUGUGUGGCUGGAGUGCAGGAGGGGCAGGCGGAAUUCCUGGUGUAGCGGUGAAAUGCGUAGAUAUCAGGAGGAACACCGGUGGCGAAGGCGGCCUGCUGGACUGUAACUGACACUGAGGCUCGAAAGCGUGGGGAGCAAACAGGAUUAGAUACCCUCGUAC
rnacentral:rRNA from 1 species